rnacentral:sRNA from 1 species
UAGCUCAAUCUCCUCGUGCACCACCUCCC